UCUACGGGAGGCAGCAGUAGGGAAUCUUCCACAAUGGACGAAAGUCUUAACGGAGCACCGCCGCGUGAGUGAUGAAGGCUUUCGGGUCGAAAAGUCUGUUUCAGGGAAGAACGGGCACCGGAGUAACGCUUGUACGUGACGUACUGUAAGAAGCCCGUCCCC
rnacentral:rRNA from 1 species